GGAGAGUUGUCCGAGUGGUUGAAGGUGCGACUCUCGAAAAGUCGUGUGCCGCAAGGCACCUAGGGUUCGAAUCCCUAACUCUCCGCCA
rnacentral:tRNA from 1 species